UUUUUUGAGGGCUUAGAGUAAGUUUUUUGUUGAUAUAAUUCAGGUUUCACCACUCCAACUAUAUCGAAAGAGUUAUGCCUUUUGGAGUAUGACAUGACCAAUUUUUACCAAUACACGUGAAUUGUAAUAAUAUUUUAGCUAUUUAUGUGCGUAUUUGACUUAGUUUUUGACUCCAAAUCUCAAAUCACCAUUUUGGGUGUCA
rnacentral:misc_RNA from 1 species